rnacentral:lncRNA from 10 species
AUUCCAGAAAGCCGCGCCGGCCCCAGUCCCCAUGGGCUGAAGGCAGGUUGAGUUCUUCCCCAGGUCUGCGAGCCUCGAAGGCUUCUUUCAGACAGCAGACCCCUUAGAAGCGCAAGGCUGCUUUCUGACAAAGAAUCAAGUGUUCCUUUCAACCAGCCAAGGGACUGGUUUUCUCGCUGACCCUUUGACAGCUCCAGCCGGUCCCUCCAUUCGAGGUCCCUGACUUCCUGCAACAGACUGAGAUGGCCUUCUGAGCUUUUCCAGGGCUGACGACCACCUUCUUGAUACCUUCCCCUCUCUCGUUCUGAAUCCGUGCCCACCAGGGAAUCCAGGCUUUCGGAGAUGAGGACUGGGAGGUCUCCAGACCACACAAGCCCCCUAUUUGCACUGGCCUUUGGAAUGAGCCUACAGCCUGCCUCCACUCCUCCUGGUACCCCAGCUGUUCUCAAGGAAUUGGCCAGAAGUCAGACUCCUUUCCCAGCUGUCCUCCACUUCUUUCCUGCCAGGCACCCUAGGCCCCAUGGUGGGAUUGGGCCUAUAGGCUGUGAUUUUCCACAUCCUUGUCAAACCUGUACUACCUGAAUGCCUAGAGGAAAAGAUACUGCCUUAAUUACUAUUAUGAGCACGAAUGCCUUCUUACUCUUGAAUUUAGCUGAGUGCUGCCUGCAGGUAAAGUCACCUGGAGAACCAUCCAGGGACUUUGUCCUCAUAGGAUCACUUGUACCUCUCUAGGGUUGCUGUGGCAGCUGCCAGAGUGGCCCGGGCCAUGGAUGAGGGCCAGGAUAUGGAAAGCAGAGGCAGAAAUGAGCCCAGAGGCCACAGGGCCCAGCUCUCAGGCUCCCACGGUGAAGCCCAGAGGGUUCCUUCUCUCUCCUGCUUCAGGCUGACAAUGUUUGUCAGCCUCUGCUCCCAACCCCUAUACCCAGCAACCUCUGCGCCCAAGCACAUGGUCUGAAGAAUAUUCUGGUGUUGGGCCCCUGUAGGUGGCCUGCCGUGACGGUGGAAGCCUGGAACGUAGUGACAUGGAUUCAUCAUUGGGAUGUUUCAUCCUAAGGAAACGCACUCGCAGGUGGCUGUAGACCUUGGGGACUCCAGCCUCGUUCAUUUAAGCUCCCACAAUGUUCCAGGCCCUAUGCGGCUUGCAAGGGGCAGAGAGACACAGAAUGACAGCCGACAUGGCACUCUAUUGGUGCACUGGCACUGUUUUUUUUUUUGAGAUGGAGUCUUGCUCUGUCACCCAGGCUGGAGUGCAGUGGCAUGAUGGAGAUGCAACCUCUACCUCAUGGGUUCAAGCGAUUCUCCUGCCUCA